UGGGGAAUAUUGCACAAUGGGCGCAAGCCUGAUGCAGCCAUGCCGCGUGUAUGAAGAAGGCCUUCGGGUUGUAAAGCACUUUCAGCGGGGAGGAAGGCGGUGAGGUUAAUAACCUCAUCGAUUGACGUUACCCGCAGAAGAAGCACCGGCUAACUCCGUGCCAGCAGCCGCGGUAAUACGGAGGGUGCAAGCGUUAAUCGGAAUUACUGGGCGUAAAGCGCACGCAGGCGGUCUGUCAAGUCAGAUGUGAAAUCCCCGGGCUCAACCUGGGAACUGCAUCUGAUACUGGCAAGCUUGAGUCUCGUAGAGGGGGGUAGAAUUCCAGGUGUAGCGGUGAAAUGCGUAGAGAUCUGGAGGAAUACCGGUGGCGAAGGCGGCCCCCUGGACGAAGACUGACGCUCAGGUGCGAAAGCGUGGGGAGCAAACAGG
rnacentral:rRNA from 1 species